UACGGAGGAUCCGAGCGUUAUCCGGAUUUAUUGGGUUUAAAGGGUGCGUAGGCGGCCAUUUAAGUCAGCGGUGAAAUUUUGCAGCUUAACUGUAACAGUGCCGUUGAUACUGUUUGGCUAGGAUUUGGUUGUAGUGUGCGGAAUGUGUGGUGUAGCGGUGAAAUGCUUAGAUAUCACACAGAACACCGAUUGCGAAGGCAGCACACUAAGUCAUUAUUGACGCUGAGGCACGAAAGUGUGGGGAUCAAACAGGAUUAGA
rnacentral:rRNA from 1 species